rnacentral:misc_RNA from 1 species
UACGUAGGGGGCAAGCGUUAUCCGGAUUUACUGGGUGUAAAGGGUGCGUAGGUGGCAUGGUAAGUCAGAUGUGAAAACCCGGGGCUCAACCCCGAGGACUGCAUUUGAAACUAUCAAGCUAGAGUGCAGGAGAGGUAAGUGGAAUUCCUAGUGUAGCGGUGAAAUGCGUAGAUAUUAGGAGGAACACCAGUGGCGAAGGCGGCUUACUGGACUGUAACUGACACUGAGGCACGAAAGCGUGGGGAGCAAACAGG